GCUCCGGUAGCCUAAUGGUUAGAGCGUCUGCCUUGGAUGAGAGAGGUCGCGGGUUCCAUUCCCGGCUGAGCCA